rnacentral:rRNA from 1 species
AAUUUUGGACAAUGGGGGAAACCCUGAUCCAGCCAUCCCGCGUGUAGGAUGAAGUUCUUCGGUGUGUAAAGUACUUUUGGCAGAGAAGAAAAGGUAUCUCCUAAUACGAGAUACUGCUGACGGUAUCUGCAUAUUAAGCACCGGCUAACUACGUGCCAGCAGACGCGGUAAUACGUAGGGUGCAAGCGUUAAUCGGAAUUACUGGGCGUAAAGAGUGUGUAGGCGGUUCGGAAAGAAAGAUGUGAAAUCCCAGGGCUCAACCUUGGAACUGCAUUUUUAACUGCCGAGCUAGAGUAUGUCAGAGGGGAGUAGAAUUCCACGUGAAGCAGUGAAAUGCGUAGAUAUGUGGAGGAAUACCGAUGGCGAAGGCAGCCCCCUGGGAUAAAACUGACGCUCAGACACGAAAGCGUGGGGAGCAAACA